rnacentral:lncRNA from 1 species
UAAGUGGUAUAUUGAGCAUUGUGCAUGAUAGGGUUAAUUGAGAGCUUCUAUUUGCAUGUUGUGAAUACAAAUGCAUGAGAAAUGAUUGUAAAAGAGUUGGAACUUGUAUGUAACCCAAUGUAUGCAUGAGUAAUGAUAAGAACCUAGAAAAGGUAUAGAAUAAAAUGACAUUAUGACAUAUGAAUACUAGAGAUGGACUCGUAGUAGAGUGGCAUUAGUGAAUGCAUUGAAUGUUAGAGUUGAACACUUAGAGAACAAGUGUGGCAUUAGUAAACAAGUACAAAGAGCAAAGUAGUGUAUAAGUUAGAGAAUGUAAGUAAAGAGAAAUAGUGACAUUGUGAUAUAGAAACUUUAAAGAUAAGGGUCACAU